AAACAAAUUCAUGAGUAAAAGAAGCAGCAUCACUCCUCCCAUUAAAAAUGACAAAAAGGUGUUGGAAUUGACCCCUCAACCUCCUGAUCCAGAGGCAAAAGAGCUACCAUUGAGCCACAGUUGAUACGAAAGGAAGCAGCAGGUUCUUUUAAAAGCAAAUGAGUGUCUUAUGUCCCCCGUGGAUAUUUUUACAUGGGAAGAUCUUGUGGCGCAUUGGAUACCAUCCCUGACUCUGAGCCAGAAGCUUCAGGUUCACGUCCCGCUCCAGGACUUGAUGGCCACUGAAGAGGAAAAGGACUGUUUUCAGGUUAACCUGCUGGUGUGGACAGAACUCCUGCUUGAAGAAACAAAGCUUGUGGAGAGUAAAGGACUAAGGAACUUCCAGAGGGUGCUUUUCCCAGGGAAGUCCAUUCAAUUAUGUUCUGAAGAUUGGGUGUUCUUUUGUAAGGACGCUGAAUGAUUCAUCCUGGUAGGGCAGGGAGAAGAGACCCUGUUAAAGCCAAGAGGUGCUUGGAACUUUAAACAAUCUCAACGUCUGGAAUUUCUGUGCAUGGGCUGGAGCUAGGGCAGCAUACAAAGGUAGAGCCUGAAGGGGGAAGAGUAAGAUGAACAGUCUGAAGGAGAAAAGUAGGAGGGCAUAUUCUGAAGGCAGCAGAAUAAGAGGGUACGGUAUGGCAUGGAGUUUUUGAUGGUGUUAAGAUGUUAAUGGGGAGUACUUUUCUGUGGUUAAGUGCAUUAGUUGCCUACCAAGUAAUGUUUAG